UUGAAUGCUGGCGGCAUGAUUUACACCUGCAAGUCGAACGGUAACAGGCCGCAAGGUGCUGACGAGUGGCGAACGGGUGAGUAAUGCAUCGGAACGUGCCCAGUCGUGGGGGAUAACUACUCGAAAGAGUAGCUAAUACCGCAUACGAUCUAUGGAUGAAAGCGGGGGAUCGUAAGGCCUCGCGCGAUUGGAGCGGCCGAUGACAGAUUAGGUAGUUGGUGGGGUAAAGGCUCACCAAGCCAACGAUCUGUAGCUGGUCUGAGAGGACGACCAGCCACACUGGGACUGAGACACGGCCCAGACUCCUACGGGAGGCAGCAGUGGGGAAUUUUGGACAAUGGGCGCAAGCCUGAUCCAGCAAUGCCGCGUGCAGGAAGAAGGCCUUCGGGUUGUAAACUGCUUUUGUACGGAACGAAACGGCUCUGGUUAAUACCCGGGGCUAAUGACGGUACCGUAAGAAUAAGCACCGGCUAACUACGUG
rnacentral:rRNA from 1 species